UAAAGUACAAAUAUUUUUAAAUCUUCUUUAUUCGUAAUAUACAACAGUAAUGAGCAAACUCUGGAUUUUUUGAAAAUAUAACACAUCUCAAUCUAUGUACGUAUUUAUACAAGGAAUCAAAGACAAAAUUAAACAGCGUCCGAUUGAUGAAAAAGAAAAAAAAAGAAAAAACAGACCUAACUAUCGAAACAAAAUAACCAUGGGAAAGAUGUAUCUUAAAUUUAAAUACUAGGAAACAAACAGAACAUAUACCUAUUUGAUAUUUAUACGCUGUCAUAAAUAUUACUAUGUAUGUAUAUAUGAUAAUAUGUAGAAUUAUUUUAUAGGGUAUAUGCCCUAAAUUUGUCACUAAAAUGUAUGUAUCUUCUUGUUCUUAUUAAUAGAAUAUCAAACAUA